rnacentral:rRNA from 1 species
AGCAGCCGCGGUAAUUCCAGCUCCAAUAGCGUAUAUUAAAGUUGUUGCAGUUAAAAAGCUCGUAGUUGAAUUUCGGGACCAAUAUGUCGGUCGUGCCUCGGUACGUACUGGUGUCAUUGGUUUCUCCCUUCUGAGGAUCCUUGAUGUCAUUAAUUUGGUGUCUUGGGGAAUCAGGACUGUUACCUUGAAAAAUUAGAGUGUUUAAAGCAGGCAUACGCUUGAAUACAUUAGCAUGGAAUAAUGAAAUAGGACGUUCGAUUCUAUUUUGUUGGUUUCUAGGAUUGACGUAAUGAUUAAUAGGGAUAGUUGGGGGCAUUAGUAUUCAAUUGUCAGAGGUGAAAUUCUUGGAUUUAUUGAAGACUAACUACUGCGAAAGCAUUUGCCAAGGAUGUUUUCAUUAAUCAAGAACGAAAGUUAGGGGAUCGAAGACGAUCAGAUACCGUCGUAGUCUUAACCAUAAACUAUAGCCGACUAGGGAUCGGAUGAUGUUAAUUUUAAU